rnacentral:rRNA from 1 species
GCUACACAUGCAAGUCGAACGGUAACAGGGNAGCAGCUUGCUGCUCUGCUGACGAGUGGCGGACGGGUGAGUAAUGUCUGGGAAACUGCCUGAUGGAGGGGGAUAACUACUGGAAACGGUAGCUAAUACCGCAUAACGUCUACGGACCAAAGUGGGGGACCUUCGGGCCUCAUGCCAUCAGAUGUGCCCAGAUGGGAUUAGCUAGUAGGUGGGGUAACGGCUCACCUAGGCGACGAUCCCUAGCUGGUCUGAGAGGAUGACCAGCCACACUGGAACUGAGACACGGUCCAGACUCCUACGGGAGGCAGCAGUGGGGAAUAUUGCACAAUGGGCGCAAGCCUGAUGCAGCCAUGCCGCGUGUAUGAAGAAGGCCUUCGGGUUGUAAAGUACUUUCAGCGGGGAGGAAGGUGUUGUGGUUAAUAACCACAGCAAUUGACGUUACCCGCAGAAGAAGCACCGGCUAACUCC